AGAGUUUGAUCCUGGCUCAGAAUGAACGCUGGCGGCGUGCUUAACACAUGCAAGUCGGAUGUGCAGCAAUGUGCAUGGCAGACGGGUGAGUAACGCGUGGGGAACCUACCUUUUUGUGGGGAAUAACGCUCCGAAAGGAGUGGUAAUACCGCAUGAGAUCGUUCGUUGGGAUACGGGCGAUGAAAGCCGGGGCAACCUGGCGCAAAGAGAGGGUCCUGCGUCUGAUUAGCUAGUUGGUGGGGUAACGGCCUACCAAGGCAUCGAUCAGUAGCCGGCCUGAGAGGGUGAUCGGCCACACUGGAACUGAGACACGGUCCAGACUCCUACGGGAGGCAGCAGUGGGGAAUUUUGCGCAAUGGGCGAAAGCCUGACGCAGCAACGCCGCGUGGGUGAUGAAGGUCUUCGGAUCGUAAAACCCUGUCGUCAGGGACGAAGGGUUGCGACCUAAUACGUCGUAACUUUGACGGUACCUGGAGAGGAAGCCCCGGCUAACUCUGUGCCAGCAGCCGCGGUAAUACAGAGGGGGCAAGCGUUAUUCGGAAUUAUUGGGCGUAAAGGGCGCGUAGGCGGUGAUGUAAGUGAGAUGUGUAAUCCCCGAGCUUAACUUGGGAACUGCAUCUCAGACUGCAUCGCUAGAGUGCUGGAGAGGGUGGUAGAAUUCCACGUGUAGCGGUGAAAUGCGUAGAGAUGUGGAGGAAUACCAGUGGCGAAGGCGGCCACCUGGACAGUAACUGACGCUGAGGCGCGAAAGUGUGGGGAGCAAACAGGAUUAGAUACCCUGGUAGUCC
rnacentral:rRNA from 1 species